rnacentral:tRNA from 1 species
UGGGUUAGUGGCGCAAUUGGCAGCGCAACGGUCUCCAAAACCGGAGGUUGUAGGUUCGACUCCUACCUAGCCCGCCAA